ACGUAGGGAGCAAGCGUUGUUCGGAUUUACUGGGCGUAAAGGGCGCGUAGGCGGCCUGUCAAGUCAAUUGUGAAAUCUCCGGGCUUAACUCGGAACGGUCAAUUGAUACUGUCAGGCUAGAGUGCAGAAAGGGCAAUCGGAAUUCUUGGUGUAGCGGUGAAAUGCGUAGAUAUCAAGAGGAACACCUGAGGCGAAGGCGGGUUGCUAGGCUGACACUGACGCUGAGGCGCGAAAGCCAGGGGAGCAAACGGGA
rnacentral:rRNA from 1 species